rnacentral:misc_RNA from 1 species
GAUGAAGAACGCAGCGAAAUGCGAUAAGUAAUGUGAAUUGCAGAAUUCAGUGAAUCAUCGAAUCUUUGAACGCACAUUGCGCCCCCUGGUAUUCCGGGGGGCAUGCCUGUUCGAGCGUCAUUUCACCACUCAAGCCUCGCUUGGUAUUGGGCAACGCGGUCCGCCGCGUGCCUCAAAUCGACCGGCUGGGUCUUCUGUCCCCUAAGCGUUGUGGAAACUAUUCGCUAAAGGGUGUUCGGGAGGCUACGCCGUAAAACAACCCCAUUUCUAAGGUUGACCUCGGAUCAGGUAGGGAUACCCGCUGAACUUAAGCAUAUAAAUAAGCGGAGGA